rnacentral:rRNA from 1 species
CCUACGGGUGGCUGCAGUGGGGAAUAUUGGGCAAUGGGCGCAAGCCUGACCCAGCAACGCCGCGUGAAGGAAGAAGGCUUUCGGGUUGUAAACUUCUUUUCUCAGGGACGAAGCAAGUGACGGUCCCUGUGGAAUAAGCCACGGCUAACUACGUGCCAGCAGCCGCGGUAAUACGUAGGUGGCAAGCGUUAUCCGGAUUUACUGGGUGUAAAGGGCGUGUAGGCGGGACUGCAAGUCAGAUGUGAAAACCACGGGCUCAACCUGUGGAGUGCAUUUGGAACUAUGAAGCUAGAGUACAGGAGAGGAAAGCGGAAUUCCUAGUGUAGCGGUGAAAUGCGUAGAUAUAAGGAAGAACACCAGUGGCGAAGGCGGAUUUCUGGACUGAAACUGACGCUGAGGCACGAAAGCGUGGGGAGCGAACAGGAUUAGAUACCCGUGUAGUC